GGUUCGGGAGCGAGCGAAGUAGCGAACGGAUACGAUGGGCACCGUGACCGCGUCGAUUUCCAUAUCCGCCGCCGCGGCGGUGAUGUCCCGCCCAGCCGGCCGCCGACGACGGCGCGGCCCCGCCGUCUUUCGCUGCUCGUCCUCUACGGCCGGCGAGCGGCAAGCCCUCUUCAGCCGAAUCGCCCCCGUCUACGACCACCUGAACGACGUGCUCAGCCUGGGGCAGCACCGGACGUGGAAGCGCAUCUGCGUAUCUUGGUCGAGGGCGAAGAUGGGGGAUCGGGUUCUUGAUCUCUGCUGCGGGAGCGGGGAUUUGGCGUUCCUGCUGUCUCAGAAGGUCGGCUUAGAUGGAGAGGUGAUGGCUGUCGAUUUCUCGAGGCAGCAACUGCAAACUGCUGCUGACCGUCAGGAGCAACGCUGGAAACUGUGCUACAAGAAUAUCAAAUGGAUAGAGGGCGAUGCACUUGAUUUGCCGUUCACAGACUGCUACUUUGAUGCUGUCACGAUUGGCUAUGGAUUGCGCAAUGUGGUUGACAAAUCCAGAGCAAUGCAAGAAAUAUUUAGGGUCCUGAAACUAGGUUCGAUACAGGAUCAAGAGCGUCUAUUCUUGAUUUUAACAAGAGCUCAUCACUUUUCACGGCAUCAUUACAGAGUUGGGCGAUUGACAACGUUGUGGUUCCUUUAGCUAGUGGCUAUGGACUCACUGAAGAAUACAAGUACUUGAAAAGCUCCAUAUCACAGUAUCUGACAGGAGAAGAGUUGGAGAAAUUAGCCAAAGAAGCCGGAUUCUCUGUAGCCAAGCACUAUGAGCUUGGUGGAGGGCUCAUGGGGAACCUAGUAGCCACUCGAUGAGUACAAUAUAGCAAGGAAACUCGAUUUGCACGAGUCAUCUGCAUUAUCUUAGCUGGUGCAGUGGUACCUAUAUCUAUCCAGAUAUCAUUUUUUGCCUAUCUCAAAUGAAGUCGUGGACAAACAUUGAUUCCAGAGGGACCUGAAUGGCUGAAUAUCAUUGUCUGCUGUUUGAACCCGCA